UCGAGAAACUGCAUUUUGAAGUUCCUUUGCAAAUAAAGGGACUAAAGUACCCCGGCCGGGCGCUGACAGUAGGCAGAACUUCAGGACUUCAAAUGCAAACAUUAUGAAAACAAGCAACAUCUGCAAACACAGGUUGAUGCCACCAUUUGCUGCGACUCAAUUUGAUGAGCUUCAGUGCUGUUUACAGCAUGAGAAAAUUGCUCUGGUGGCUCCAUCAAAUUUCAGCCUGGAGUGCUUUUGAGAGCAAAGCAAAGAGGCCCAAAGAACAUCUCCCCUCGCGGAAGCGCGAUCUGAACUUUGAAUACAGGGUGCUCGCUAAAAGCCUGGGUGUGAAAAGAGUUCCCAGCUUCAUAUAUUUAAAAGAAAGCAGGAACAAAAUGCAGAGAGAUGCUAAAAGCCAACAGGAUGGAAACUCGGAGAUGCUUGCCAAAGGUCAGCCCAGUCGGUGAAAGUUACAUGAACAAAUUUCCACAGAGCAUUUCAGGAGGGCUCAGAAGCACUGCAGCCGAAGACCUGGUUGGCCAGGCUGAAUGAAAGAAAGAUUGGCACAAGAUCACCCUGUCUUCUUUAUGGCUGAGGGCCUGACUAUAGAACAUCCAGGUUAUCCAUGAGAACUUCCCAUACCAACAAAGAACGUGUCCCUGCUCACAAAAAGCCAUCGAAACAAUCGAGCACAUCCUCCUAGAUUGCGAACUAUAUGCUUCAUCUAGAAGACAAUAU